AUUGAACGCUGGCGGCAGGCUUAACACAUGCAAGUCGAGCGGGGAAGGGUAGCUUGCUACCUUACCAGCGGCGGACGGGUGAGUAAUGCUUAGGAAUCUGCCUAUUAGUGGGGGACAACAUCUCGAAAGGGAUGCUAAUACCGCAUACGUCCUAACGGGAGAAAGCAGGGGAUCUUCGGACCUUGCGUAAUAGAUGAGCCUAAGUCGGAUUAGUAGUUGGUGGGGUAAAGGCCUACCAAGGCGACGAUCUGUAGCGGGUCUGAGAGGAUGAUCCGCCACACUGGGACUGAGACACGGCCCAGACUCCUACGGGAGGCAGCAGUGGGGAAUAUUGGACAAUGGGGGGAACCCUGAUCCAGCCAUGCCGCGUGUGUGAAGAAGGC
rnacentral:rRNA from 1 species